GUGCCAGCAGCCGCGGUAAUACGAAGGGGGCUAGCGUUGUUCGGAAUGACUGGGCGUAAAGGGUGCGUAGGCUGCGCAGCAAGUCAGGCGUGAAAUCCCCGGGCUCAACCUGGGAACUGCGCUUGAGACUGCUGUGCUUGAGACCGGGAGAGGAUGGCGGAAUACCCAGUGUAGAGGUGAAAUUCGUAGAUAUUGGGUAGAACACCGGUGGCGAAGGCGGCCAUCUGGACCGGAUCUGACGCUGAGGCACGAAAGCGUGGGGAGCAAACAGGAUUAGAUACCCUGGUAGUCC
rnacentral:rRNA from 1 species